GACAGAGGGUGCAAACGUUGCUCGGAAUCACUGGGCGUAAAGCGCGUGUAGGCGGACUUGUAAGUCGGGUGUGAAAUCCCUGGGCUCAACUCAGGAACUGCAUCCGAAACUACUUGUCUAGAGUAUCGGAGAGGAAAGCGGAAUUCCCGGUGUAGAGGUGAAAUUCGUAGAUAUCGGGAGGAACAUCAGUGGCGAAGGCGGCUUUCUGGACGAUUACUGACGCUGAGACGCGAAAGCGUGGGGAGCAAAC
rnacentral:rRNA from 1 species